CAAGCAUCUCCCUUGUCAGCAAAGCUACCUUUGGCCGGCGAUUUGGAGACUCAAACCCGGGGAUUUCUCCUUCACCCAUCAAGCGCUUGAUAAAAUACCUUUCUACCAUACCUUUCUUGGAACAAUCUUAUCCACACCCAUUUCACCAAUAGAGGUCCGGUAGGCGCACCUUCUCUUUAUCUUCACAUGCUGCUCCAAGGUGCUUGUCUUGACAAGCACACUUCUCCUUGUGUUCUAACUGCUUCUGGCCUGUGCAGCAACCUUUGCCUUGGCAAAUGGGUCCAUUGCAAGGCUCUUAAGCUUGGCUUCUCGUCUGAUCAAUAUGUUAUCACUGCUUUACUUGAAAUGUAUGGGCAUCUUGACAGCACUGACGCUGCAAAUUGGCUUUUUGACAAAUCUCCUAGCAAGAAUUCAGUUUCUUGGAUCAUGUUAGCUAGGUUUUACUUGUCACAAAACAAGCCGGGUGUGGCUUUUGAUUUGUUUUAUCAAAUAAUGGACUUCAUUGCUAAUCAAGUUGAUCUAGUAGCUUUAGCAACAGCUGUUGACUGUUGUGUUAAAUUGAAUCCGUGCAGUAAGAAAUGUGGAUUAGAGUUUGAUAUUUGGUGGCCGAUUCUCUUUUGAAAAAUGUAUAUUGAUUUAAAUAUGCUCGGGCAACUUUUGAUAGAAUGCCACCCAAAAAUAUUAUUAUUUCAUGGACGGAAUUAUAAAUGGUAUGUGAAGAACGGAGGAUUUAAUGAAGCCCUCAAAUUGUUUCGGUGGAUGAAUACUGUUGGAAUAAAACCAGACCCAUCCCAAUUCGCAGUGUUCUCUCUGCUUGUGCAAGAUUGGCAGCUCAUAAACUUGGGAAGGAGAUCCACGCUUACUUGCUGAGAAACAGUAUUGAGCUCAAUCUUAUGGUCCAAAAUGCUGCUACGGACAUGUAUUUUAAAUGAGGAACAGGAUUCAUAUAGUAUUUGUUGGAAUCCCAUGUCGAAAUAAUAUAAAAUAAAAGAGCAAUAUAUAAGUAGUUGAAUUGCAAUAUUAAAAUUGAUUAGUUAUUUUGAUGUGUAAAUAUUAAAAUUGAUUAGUGAUUUUUAUGUGUAAAGUAAUUCAGUCACUUAUAUAAGUCCAAAUUAAAAU
rnacentral:misc_RNA from 1 species